rnacentral:lncRNA from 1 species
ACUCAAGAUGCUUAGCUUCUCCUUUUUCCUCUUUUCUCCUCCAGGGAUGGGAAUCAGAUGGGCAUAGGGCAUCUGGUCCAUGAUCAUCCUUUGUUUGUGCUGGUCUCCGAUGAAAUAUCUGAAGAAGCUUAUCAAGACCUCCACCUGGGAUCACCCAUCAUUCCACCCUUUCCAAUUCUGAGCUGACAUCACCUCUGGGUAUAUCAGUGAACCACAGACUCAGUCAACAGAAAACCAUGGAGAAGAGAUCUUGUUA